GUGGAGCAUGUGGUUUAAUUCGUAGCAACGCGAAGAACCUUACCAGUCUUGACAUCCUCUGACAAUCCUAGAGAUGGACGUCCCCUUCGGGGGCAGAGUGACAGGUGGUGCAUGGUGUCGUCAGCUCGUGUCGUGAGAUGUUGGGUUAAGUCCCGCAACGAGCGCCCCUUGAUCUUAGUUGCCAGCAUUCAGUUGGGCACUCUAAGGUGACUGCCGGUGACAAACCGGAGGAAGGUGGGGAUGACGUCAAAUCAUCAUGCCCCUUAUGACCUGGGCUACACACGUGCUACAAUGGACAGAACAAAGGGCAGCGAAACCGCGAGGUUAAGCCAAUCCCACAAAUCUGUUCUCAGUUCGGGCCGCAGUCUGCAACUCGACUGCGUGAAGCUGGAAUCGCUAGUAAUCGCGGAUCAGCAUGCCGCGGUGAAUACGUUCCCGGGCCUUGUACACACCGGCCGUCACACCACGAGAGUUUGUAACACCCGAAGUCGGUGAGGUAACCUUUAAGGAGCCAGCCGCCGAAGGU
rnacentral:rRNA from 1 species